CCUACGGGAGGCAGCAGUGGGGGAUAUUGCACAAUGGGGGGAACCCUGAUGCAGCGACGCCGCGUGGGUGAAGGAGUGCUUCGGCAUGUAAAGCCCUAUCGGCAGGGAAGAAGCAAGACGGUACCUGACUAAGAAGCCCCGGCUAACUACGUGCCAGCAGCCGCGGUAAUACGUAGGGGGCGAGCGUUAUCCGGAUUCACUGGGUGUAAAGGGAGCGUAGACGGCCAUGCAAGCCAGGGGUGAAAGCCCGGGGCCCAACCCCGGGACUGCCCUUGGAACUGUGCGGCUAGAGUGCGGGAGGGGCAGGCAGAAUUCCUGGUGUAGCGGUGAAAUGCGUAGAUAUCAGGAGGAACACCGGCGGCGAAGGCGGCCUGCUGGACUGCGACUGACGUUGAGGCUCGAAAGCGUGGGGAGCGAACAGGAUUAGAUACCCGGGUAGUC
rnacentral:rRNA from 1 species